UUCUUGUGAUGAUUUUGAAUUAAUCACCAUCUUUCGGCUGAAAACCAUGCUGAAAUAAUUUCGUACUGAUUUUUAUA